UCGAGGAUUUUUCUCAAUGGGGGAAACCCUGAAGGAGCGACGCCGCGUGAGGGAUGAAGGUCUUCGGAUUGUAAACCUCUGUCAUCUGGGAACAAUGUGAUCCACCCAAUACGUGGAUCAUUGAUAGUACCGGAAGAGGAAGCAGUGGCUAACUCUGUGCCAGCAGCCGCGGUAAUACAGAGACUGCAAGCGUUGUUCGGAUUCAUUGGGCGUAAAGGGUCCGCAGGCGGUCGGUUAAGUCGGAUGUGAAAUCUCACAGCCUAACUGUGAUAGGUCAUUCGAAACUAAUCGACUAGAGGAGUGGAGAGGAGACUGGAAUUGCUGGUGUAGCAGUGAAAUGCGUAGAUAUCAGCAAGAACACCGGUGGCGAAGGCGAGUCUCUGGACACUUCCUGACGCUCAGGGACGAAAGCCAGGGGAGCAAACGGG
rnacentral:rRNA from 1 species